UCUGGAUGAUGUGGUCGGGGCAGUUGAUCGAUGUGUCGGGGCGAUCCAAGCCCCCGUGUCGAGGCACUAGU